UACGGAGGAUCCGAGCGUUAUCCGGAAUCACUGGGCGUAAAGGGUGCGUAGGCGGCCGAUAAAGUCUGGGGUGAAAGGCUACGGCUUAACCGUAGUAAGCCUUGGAAACUUAUUGGCUUGAGUGCAGGAGAGGUAAGUGGAAUUCCUAGUGUAGCGGUGAAAUGCGUAGAUAUUAGGAGGAACACCAGUGGCGAAGGCGACUUACUGGACUGUAACUGACGCUGAGGCACGAAAGCGUGGGGAGC
rnacentral:rRNA from 1 species